rnacentral:rRNA from 1 species
AGAUUGAACGCUGGCGGCAUGCCUUACACAUGCAAGUCGAACGGCAGCACGGGAGCAAUCCUGGUGGCGAGUGGCGAACGGGUGACGUAAUAUAUCGGAACGUGCCCAGUCGUGGGGGAUAACGCAGUGAAAGCUGUGCUAAUACCGCAUACGAUCUAUGGAUGAAAGCGGGGGACUCGCAAGAGCCUCGCGCGAUUGGAGCGGCCGAUAUCAGUAUUAGCUAGUUGGUAGGGGUAAAAGCCCACCGAAGGCGACGAUCGUGUAGCUGGUCUGAGAGGACGACCAGCCAACACGUAGGAACUGAGACACGGUCCAG